rnacentral:rRNA from 1 species
GACGAACGCUGGCGGCGUGCUUAACACAUGCAAGUCGAACGAAGAGCGAUGGAAGCUUGCUUCUAUCAAUCUUAGUGGCGAACGGGUGAGUAACGCGUAAUCAACCUGCCCUUCAGAGGGGGACAACAGUUGGAAACGACUGCUAAUACCGCAUACGAUCCAAUCUCGGCAUCGAGGAUGGAUGAAAGGUGGCCUCUAUUUAUAAGCUAUCACUGAAGGAGGUGAUUGCGUCUGAUUAGCUAGUUGGAGGGGUAACGGCCCACCAAGGCGAUGAUCAGUAGCCGGUCUGAGAGGAUGAACGGCCACAUUGGGACUGAGACACGGCCCAGACUCCUACGGGAGGCAGCAGUGGGGAAUCUUCCGCAAUGGACGAAAGUCUGACGGAGCAACGCCGCGUGAGUGAUGACGGCCUUCGGGUUGUAAAGCUCUGUUAAUCGGGACGAAAGGUCCUCUUGCGAAUAGUUAGAGGAAUUGACGGUACCGGAAGAGAAAGCCACGGCUAACUACGUG